UGUGAUGGUGUAGGUAGACUAUAUUACAUGGAUUUAUUGUGAUGGUGUAGGUAGACUAUAUUACAUGGAUUUAUUGUGAUGGUGUAGGUAGACUAUAUUACAUGGAUUUAUUGUGAUGGUGUAGGUAGACUAUAUUACAUGGAUUUAUUGUGAUGGUGUAGACUAUAUUACAUGGAUUUAUUGUGAUGGUGUAGACUAUAUUACAUGGAUUUAUUGUGAUGGUGUAGACUAUAUUACAUGGAUUUAUUGUGAUGGUGUAGGUAGACUAUAUUACAUGGAUUUAUUGUGAUGGUGUAGACUAUAUUACAUGGGUUUAUUGUGAUGGUGUAGACUAUAUUACAUGGAUUUAUUGUGAUGGUGUAGGUAGACUAUAUUACAUGGAUUUAUUGUGAUGGUGUAGACUAUAUUACAUGGAUUUAUUGUGAUGGUGUAGACUAUAUUACAUGGAUUUAUUGUGAUGGUGUAGGUAGACUAUAUUACAUGGAUUUAUUGUGAUGGUGUAGGUAGACUAUAUUACAUGGAUUUAUUGUGAUGGUGUAGGUAGACUAUAUUACAUGGAUUUAUUGUGAUGGUGUAGGUAGACUAUAUUACAUGGAUUUAUUGUGAUGGUGUAGGUAGACUAUAUUACAUGGAUUUAUUGUGAUGGUGUAGACUAUAUUACAUGGAUUUAUUGUGAUGGUGUAGACUAUAUUACAUGGGUUUAUUGUGAUGGUGUAGACUAUAUUACAUGGAUUUAUUGUGAUGGUGUAGACUAUAUUACAUGGAUUUAUUGUGAUGGUGUAGACUAUAUUACAUGGAUUUA